UACGUAGGCAGCAAGCGUUGUUCGGAGUUACUGAGCGUAAAGGGUGUGUAGGCGGUUAUUUAAGUUUGGUGUGAAAUCUCCCGGCUCAACCGGGAGGGUGCGCCGAAUACUGAAUGACUUGGAGUGCGGGAGAGGAAAGUGGAAUUCCUGGUGUAGCGGUGAAAUGCGUAGAUAUCAGGAGGAACACCGGUGGUGUAGACGGCUUUCUGGACCGUAACUGACGCUGAGACACGAAAGCGUGGGUAGCAAACAGG
rnacentral:rRNA from 1 species